rnacentral:lncRNA from 1 species
AAAAAUGCAAAGGCCACUAUCAUCCUGAGGGCUUAGACCUGAUUUGGGCAUGGGGCAGUGUGCCUCUCAGGAGCUUAUGGUCAGGAGACGCUUUUUAUGAGGCAACUAGACUAGCUUCUUGCUGAUAUUUUAAGGAGCUGGAGAUUUUUUGGCUAGAGCUUGGAAAACAGGGAAUGAUGUGGAGUCUGACUAGCCAGUGUCAUUGGGCAGAGAUCUAUUGAGCCAGCUUACCAAUGGCCCAGGCUCAGCAGACCGAAGUUCUAGCUCUUCUAGCUCUCAGGACAUGAUAAAGAACAGAAAUGUGACACCUAGUACUCCUCUUGCUCUUCGAAAUUUCUGAAGAUUUUCAACAACUGCAAAUAUCUAGACUAGAUUUCAAUCUGUGAGCAAAUGAUAGAGUUUAGUCAGAUUACGUCUUCUUCCCUCCUGGCCAACUGGUUCCCUCUGGUCACUGUUCUCCUUCCCAUUCUCAACAGGUUGCUGGUUACCAAGCCAGAGUCCUCGCCUGGCAGCCCAUCCACCCAGCAGCCCGCCUGUCUGUAUGUCUCCCCACCCACUUGGCCACUGGUUACCCACGUCCCUCAAGUUGCUUCAGUCCCGGUUGCUUUGGCUGCCUAGACCAGAGGAAUACCUACAAAAAGGAUUCUUCCUAUGGUAAUCUACUUGUGAGUCUCCUGGUGAAAGGAAUGAGUCAUACAGUAAAGACAAUCUGGUCAAUUUAGCCAAUUCUGCUCUUCGUAGUUCCUCAGGCUUUGGUGAGAACAGAUGACAUUUUAAGAAUCACCCAGCUGCUUGAGCCCAGGACUGACAGCCUGUUUCCCUGGGGCUUCUGCAGAGACCACUCUGGGCAAGAAAUGAGGGAACCUGGCUCAGGAAGAUGACUAGGCUGGAUAAUGCUACCCUCCUCUCCAUGGGAGACUGGUGUUGUUUUCUACCCACCAAGCACAUUUUCACCACUUGCCAUUGAGCAGCCAACAAUGGAGAGACUUGGCCCUUUCAGGAACUAUCAAGGUUGGCUGAGCUUGAAAGCACCUUCCUCUGGUUCUGGGCACACAAGGGACAAAACCCAAAUGAGAGGCCCUCUGUCUAGGGAGAUAAACGGACUUGGUGAAGAUCACAAAGUGUCUCCACCAAGAAGCUGGAAGCUUGUUAUAGCUGUUCAAAACAAAGAAUUCCACCAAUGUCCCUCUAGAAAGAGGGGUAUAUAUAGGCAGGUCAGCAGGCCUGGAGUAGACAGACCCCUGGGAGGCGCUGACAUGGCAAAGGCGACCGGGAAAUCCCAGGCUUCUAGCACAGUCACGGAACAACCCUCGCCAAAGAACAAAGAGAGGAAGAUGAGGAAGGGCUCCUGUCAACCCAGGUCCGGAGGCAGUGUCAAGGCGGCCAAGAAAACUACGUGGGCCAAAAGACCCCUUCGAAGGAGAUCCACUAAAAAAGCCUCUAGAAAACGUCCCACCUCUUCAGUCAAAUCUAAGGAAGUGAGAGGAACAACCCUAUUCGGUCACUAUCACAGGCUGAAUGAAGAGCUGAAUCAAGAUAAGCCAGAGGAGGACGCAGAGAGCAUGGAGAAGCCCAGCACUUCAUGUGCCUACCUGCACCACCAGCAACUUCAGAGCGAGGCCAGAGACCUCACAGAGGAAUCAUCUGAGAAGUCUCUAACGUCUGACCCCUGAGAAAUGGCCAGUGGUGCCGACGUCAUUUGACAGCAGCAGGGUGCCCUGAUGGUGAUUUCAAUAAAACGGACCUGUUGUGAAAAUGUGUGUGUCUC